rnacentral:rRNA from 1 species
CAACUCGCCUGCAUGAAGUCGGAAUUGCUAGUAAUCGCAGAUCAGCAUGCUGCGGUGAAUACGUUCCCGGGCCUUGUACACACCGCCCGUCACACCAUGGGAGUCGGUAACACCCAAAGUUGGUAGCCUAACCGCAAGGAGGGCGCCGCCUAAGGUGGGAUUGAUGACUGGGGUGAAGUCGUAACAAGGUAAC